rnacentral:rRNA from 1 species
GAUGAACGCUGGCGGCGUGCCUAAUACAUGCAAGUCGAGCGAACAGACGAGGAGCUUGCUCCUCUGACGUUAGCGGCGGACGGGUGAGUAACACGUGGAUAACCUACCUAUAAGACUGGGAUAACUUCGGGAAACCGGAGCUAAUACCGGAUAAUAUAUUGAACCGCAUGGUUCAAUAGUGAAAGACGGUUUUGCUGUCACUUAUAGAUGGAUCCGCGCCGCAUUAGCUAGUUGGUAAGGUAACGGCUUACCAAGGCGACGAUGCGUAGCCGACCUGAGAGGGUGAUCGGCCACACUGGAACUGAGCCACGGUCCAGACUCCUACGAGAGGCAGCAGUAGGGAAUCUUCCGCAAUGGGCGAAAGCCUGACGGAGCAACGCCGCGUGAGUGAUGAAGGUCUUCGGAUCGUAAAACUCUGUUAUUAGGGAAGAACAAAUGUGUAAGUAACUAUGCACGUCUUGACGGUACCUAAUCAGAAAGCCACGGCUAACUACGUG